GUGGGGAAUAUUGCACAAUGGGCGAAAGCCUGAUGCAGCAACGCCGCGUGAGGGACGACGGCCUUCGGGUUGUAAACCUCUUUUAGUAGGGAAGAAGCGAAAGUGACGGUACCUGCAGAAAAAGCACCGGCUAACUACGUGCCAGCAGCCGCGGUAAUACGUAGGGUGCAAGCGUUAUCCGGAAUUAUUGGGCGUAAAGAGCUCGUAGGCGGUCUGUUGCGUCUGCUGUGAAAACUGGAGGCUCAACCUCCAGCCUGCAGUGGGUACGGGCAGACUAGAGUGCGGUAGGGGAGAUUGGAAUUCCUGGUGUAGCGGUGGAAUGCGCAGAUAUCAGGAGGAACACCGAUGGCGAAGGCAGAUCUCUGGGCCGUAACUGACGCUGAGGAGCGAAAGCGUGGGGAGCGAACAGGAUUAGAUACCCGGGUAGUCC
rnacentral:rRNA from 1 species